GGUUGUAUUAGGUUGAAACACCGGUUCCCGUACGAUCAUGGAAGUUAAGAAACGUCAAGCCUGGUUACUACUUAGAUGGGUGAACGAGUAGGAUUCCCAGGUGCAGUAAG